UUUGGACCGACCUAGGAUCCAGUCCAAUAUACAGUUUGGUCCACCUGCCGUGUCACUUUCUCGGGAACAUGUUUCCUCAAGUCUUUUCCAAUUGCCAGGUGAGAAAAUCAGAGCGAGAGAGAGAGAACAGAAUCGAACAAAAAUCUCGAAAGAUCGAGAGCUUAUCAAACAGUACAAGACAGUCGAAGCUCUAAAAACUGCUCUUGAAGGCUCGCCUCUCAACACCAAAGACGAGCGCUGCAAGUCUGUAAAUUGGAUAAUGGUGCAUACAGCUAUCAUGGCUAUAAAAGAUGUGUGUUUUCUUCUUUGGAUCCCGAGUACUAUGACAUUCUCAUGAAGUAAGUAGUUAUACCUUAUGAAUGCUAUCCGAUUUUGGUUUCGAGUAUUUUACGUAAUCUUUUGAAUUGAAAAUUGAAAUUUAUGUAGAUAAUGAACUUUGUUUUGCUAAGGUGGUUUUGUAUUGAUUUGUUUUCUGUAUAUAACACGGAUCUCGUUAACGGUUGGUAAUAGUUGCCUGAUUCAAUGUGCUUAAAACUGUUGGAAGUUCUUUAACCAAAUAUAGAGUACACAUGAGUUUACUAGAGGGUUUUCGGUUAAACCGGUCGAGAAUUUUCCCAAACGGAGAACCAAAGUAAGUAUCUUGAGUCAUAGAAAUGAACUUGAAUUUGACUGGUUACGUAGUUCUGGCUCUUUCUUUGCGUGCAUUCUGUAUCUUUAUCAUUUUAGAUGGUGUGGUCCGUGUGGAUUAUAUGGGCAAGUUACCUAGACUUGUGCUUUGUUAGGGUACGAAAAACAAUGGUCAGGCCUUAGAGAGAUUUGUUUGAAUCAAAUAUGGCGGUUGAGUAUCUUAUAUUUCUGAAGGAAUCCAAUUUAUACGUCAGUGGAUGGGAUUUUGGGAAUACAAAUAUCACUAUAUGCGAAACAUUUGUAUGUUUCUUCUUAUUUCGUUUCUUAUCCAAGAUGACAGAUUAUAGUCAUUAGAGCGAUUGUUAUAUGUACGGUUUUGGUGCAGUGUCAUAUAAGCAAGUAUUCUACCCAAAAGUAUUAGAAAAUAUUAGGUAUGCAUAGUUUUUCUUCUAAGUUUGUGAUUUCAAUUUCUUGAUGUUUUGCUCCUUAGUUAUCUUUAUUAUUCUUCCUUUUCCUAUAAGAAAAGUUCUCCUGCCUUUCUUUUCCCCAUCUUUGGUAUAUGCUGUUGUUUAGGACAUUUUACAAUUUCGGGCAUUCUUGAUUCCUGAGGACCUCUGGUCUUUCUAGAGUCUCGCUUUUUACUUCCGGUUAACAUUUUCCUUUGGUGGUGUUUGUGUUUUUUUUGGGUGAAUGAAUGAUUAUAUUAAAGAGAACCAAAAAGAAGCAACAAACUACAACACAACAAUGGCAACAAAGGCCAAGCUAAAAACAAACAAAUAAAAACAGGAGGCUGUAAAAAACAGAAACAACCCAACCUAACAACCAACACCAAAAGGAGAACUACAUAGGAAUUCUCCAUUCUUGAAAUAUAGGCACAUUUGCAGUAGAAAGCGGAAUCUACAAAGAACAUAACCGUAAGUGUAUAGAGUUCACAAUGGCUUUAAAGAUGGCAACAGAGUGGAGAUGCUCGUUUCUGAAUUUACGAUUAUUCCCUUCUUUCCAGAUAGCAUAGACAACAGCUUGGAGGCACAACUUCUUAAAGCUAACAUCCAAUGACUAAUUCGUCCAAUUAUUAGCAGCCCAAGUGAUAAACUUAUGCCAAUCCAAACGAGGAGUAUCACAACCACACUUAGAAAGCAUAUGAGACCAAAUAUUGGCACUAUACAGACACUCAAAGAACAAGUAAUUGUGAGAUUCAUUACCAGUCAAGCAAAGAGAGCAAAUAAGAGAGGCAUGAUGGGUAAAGACCAUUACCCGAUCCAUAAUAGAUAACUUACCCCUUAUAGCUAGCCAAAGAAUGAAGCUCCACCUUGGGACAUGCUCGCCAAACCACAAGAGACCAGCCCAUGGGACCUUUGGAUGGGGCUCCCUAAUAGCAUUCCAAGCGGAUGAGGCAUAGUAGCUUCCAUUGGGUGACAACGUCCAAGUAACAGAAUCACGCCUAAACUGGUUCGGAAAAAGUUGAAACAUAGAAACUCGAAUUUCCAAUAAAUCAUUAGGGGAAGAAAAAGGCCACCUCCAUUCGAAACCAUUCUCAACAAUAAUCUCUCAGACCGAAUUUUGGUUGGAGCUAUGAUUCCUCAAUCAUACUAGAAGGCCAUCUAUGGCUAAGGGGCUUGAGUGGGUGCCAAUUGUCAAACCAUAGAGAGGUGGAGUGCCCAUCACCAAUGACAUGAAAGAAGAAGAAUCUAACCAGCCCUCUGAGAUGAAGGAUUUUCCUCAAAUUCCAAGAGCGAGCAAACAGAAGGAAAAAGGGGCAUUCCAAAAAAGAAUUACCUUGAAGUAAAUAAGCCUUCAAAAAAGUCAGACCAUAAAUUAGAAGCACAAGAAAUUAAGCUCCAAAUAUGGUGGAUCAUAAGAGCUUUAUUCCAACACUGUAAUCUCUUUAAGCCAAGGCCCCCCUCAGCCUUAUGGAGACAAAUAUUAGACCAAGACACCUUAGUUGCAUAACUCCCUAAGCAAGUACCAGACCAUACGAAGGAGCAGAGUCUUCUCUCAAUAUCUAAAAGGCACUUUUUGGGGAGGAUCAGAUGUGAGCACCAAAAAACCUGGAUACUGGAAAGCACAAAUUGGAUGAGUUGCAAUCUCCUAGCAAAAGAGAGCAUUAUUCUCCCAGCUUUUAAUCCUUGCUUCAGCCUUGUCAAUUAAAGGAUAGCAAUCACAAAGCUUAAGCUUGGAAGUGAUUAGAGGAACUCCUAAGUUACCGGCAAAAAAUUGGCUCUUGGAGGCACUAGAGAAUCGUACUUUAACAUUAAUAAUACAGGACAACAUCUCCAUAGCAAUGACAAAUAAGUAAGGAGACAAGAGAUCCCCUUGCCUAAGCCACGCCUACUCCCAAAGUAACCUACAAGCUCACCAUUUACAACAAUCGAGAACAUAGGAGACGAGAUGCAACUCUUAAUCCAAUUAAUCAUUGCAGGUGAGAUAGCAAAUGCAGCAAGAGUAGAAAGUAUAAAAUCCCACUCCACGAUUUCAUAAGCUUCAUACCUAGGAGAUCCUUCGACUUUGUGGUAGUCACGAAGGAUUUCUUGAGCGAAAAGGAUAUUAUCCCCAAAUUUUCUUCCUGGAAUAAAGGCCGAUUGAAUAGGACUUACCAUAUGAGAUAAAACUUCCUUGAGCCAAUUAGACAACAACUUAGCUAUAAUUUUAUAAAGCUUGUUACAGCAGGAGAUAGGUCUAAAAUCACUCAUUGUAUCAGGAAUAGAGACCUUAGGGACAAGGGUGAUGAUAGUAGAAUUUAACUCCUUAAGAAGAUGACCUGAGUGAAAAAAAUUCUUGAACAACAGCGAUGACAUCAUUUCCAAUGACGGACCACACUCGUUUAAAAAAAAAACAACCAUUAUAACCAUCUAGUCCAAGAGACUUAUUAGGAUGCAUAGAGAAGCAAACUGACUUAUUGUCAUCUGGAGUGAAAUUAGCACAAAGAGAAUCAGUAAGGAUAUAGUCCAUAGGGUUGGACACUAGCCUGUUCAAACCAUCACGCCUAGAAGAGUCCUCGCCAACAGAACAAACAAGGACUGAUUGAAAGAAAUUGAUAGCUUCCUGCUUGACUUCCUCCUCCGAAUUGACAAUAGACCCAUCAACUCUAGUAAUAGAAACCAAACGAUUCCUACUUCUGUUCUUCGAUAUAGACUUGAAGAAAAAUGAAGAAUUUCUAUCCCUGCCUUUAGCCAUUGAACUCUAGACUUUUGCCUCAAGAACAUUUCCUCCACAGUCAAAAUCGAAGCAUAAGCAUUAUAAAAGAUUUUUUCUUGUGCUCACAAGGAGUUGUCAAAAUGGUUAGAGUAAAGAAGCCUUUGACACAUAUCUAAAUCUGCCUUGGAAUUAACAACAAUAUGCUGCCAUGUGAAUCAUAACCUUUACUGUGAGUGAAAUUUCAACCCAUCUCCAUAGAAAAAUAAACGUAAUUUGUCUUUGUUACGUUUUUAAUGUAGAGAAAAUAAGGUGAAGUUUUGAUCAACUUUCUUUUAGGUUAGCCUUUUGGUCUAGUGGUACAUGUAUCUGACCAAUGUUGAAAGAUACCUAUUAUAUGUAUCCCUCCCUUGUUAGAAAUAGAAUUGCCUUAAAACUCUUACCAUCAGUUCACUUUGUUAUUUUGUCAAUAGAAGAUUGCAUCAAGUCCUAAUUGAAAAGUUGCCACCCUUUUAACACGAUAUGUAUUUUUUGAUACAUAUCUGACUGCGAUUUGCGAGUGAUAGCUGCUUCUUACAUGUAAAGAGUUUGUGAAAGUAUACCCUUUUAUUUUUAACCAUCAUUUUAUUGGUUGCUAUUAUUCAUAAUCAAGCCCAUCACCGAAUACAUAGCAAGAACAAAGGGAGAGAAUAUAAGAGUCAAAAUCUAAUGAAAUAAGUUAACAAAUUGACAUUCAAAAGGUUAACUUUUCCACUUAGAUUAUAUAAACAAAUUCACAUUCUCCUCUGUUAGUUACCUUUGAAUUGUCCUACUACUUCCAAGUUUCCAGCACAUCAAACAACUUUUUACUUGGUCGCCAACUUCUUAACUUUGCCUACCGUAAAAUUAGUAAAAGCCCAAAAUUUUAACCAAUAAACGGAGGGGCAGGCCCUUAGGGAGUAGGGUUAUCUCCUAUUCUAUUCUCAUUCCUUUCACUCCUCUCCUCUCACUCUUUACUUUUUGUAUUAUUUGUCUAUAAAAAAAUUCAAUAUAAGAUUUUGUCAUAGUUUAAUCGUAAUCGUUCAAAUAGGAGGGAAGAGAAAGAGAGAGAGAAUACGAGGAGAGAGAAUCCUCCUCUGGCCUUCAAUUACCAAAACCAUAUCCUAAGGUCCACUACCCUACACAUUGUCGCCCAUUUCCUCCUAAUGAGGUAAAUGUUUCUAAGUCAUUAGUUUUCCCAUGAUCCUCCUACUUCGAACUGGAAAUUAUGACCGAUGGGCGAAUGCAUCAAGCGGUCGAUGUUGGAUCGGAAGUUUGGCCUAUGGCCUGAUGGGAAUAGGCCGUUGGAUAUUAGGCAGACCAUUUUCACCAAAAAAGCGAAAACUGUGCUAUGCAAUGUUGGUGUUUUUCUACCAUGCACUAGUGUCUUAGACCUUUUGACAUAAAAAAAAAAAAAAAAAAAAAGAGGAUAUAUGCUUGACCCUCCAUUGCAUGAUGCGUGUCAUGCACCAGAGCAUGGUAGAAUUUUCAGGUUGGUUUAGGCAAACAAAUAGAACAAAUUUGACCCCAAAUAAGAUGUAAACUAUCAUGGAGAGAGGCAGGACGUAUCCAUUUCCCAUCAAUAAUAAAAUUGGAGAUCCGUGCAUGCAAAGUCUUACCCAAAGCAUUUGGAGUGUUUAAAACUUCAAUUAAGGAUUUAUCCAACAAAUUGGCAUGCCAAAAAAAAAAAA